CCACCCUCACGCGCCGCGUGGUGUUGGGGCUCUCUCCGCAGCGAGAGGCCCCGAAAGCGAGUGGCGGACCGCCUGGUUUGGCUCCGAGCGCAGUAACUUACUCUCGCUCUGGACGGCCAGCGGCCCUGCCGUGAAACCGUGCCGCUCGCAAGAGCGCACACCCCACCAAAGG
rnacentral:misc_RNA from 1 species